rnacentral:rRNA from 1 species
UACGUAGGGUGCGAGCGUUAAUCGGAAUUAUUGGGCGUAAAGGGUGCGUAGGCGGAUAUAUAAGUUAGAUGUGAAAAGCCAGGGCUUAACCUUGGUCGUGCAUUUAAGACUGUAUAUCUAGAGUUUGUAAGAGGGGGUAGAAUUCCAAGUGUAGCAGUGAAAUGCGUAGAGAUUUGGAGGAAUACCGAUGGCGAAGGCAGCCCCCUGGUAUAGAACUGACGCUGAGGCACGAAAGCGUGGGUAGCAAACAGG